rnacentral:rRNA from 1 species
CCUACGGGAGGCAGCAGUGGGGAAUCUUGCGCAAUGGGCGAAAGCCUGACGCAGCCAUGCCGCGUGAAUGAUGAAGGUCUUAGGAUUGUAAAAUUCUUUCACCGGGGACGAUAAUGACGGUACCCGGAGAAGAAGCCCCGGCUAACUUCGUGCCAGCAGCCGCGGUAAUACGAAGGGGGCUAGCGUUGCUCGGAAUUACUGGGCGUAAAGGGAGCGUAGGCGGAUAGUUUAGUCAGAGGUGAAAGCCCAGGGCUCAACCUUGGAAUUGCCUUUGAUACUGGCUAUCUUGAGUGUGGGAGAGGUAUGUGGAACUCCGAGUGUAGAGGUGAAAUUCGUAGAUAUUCGGAAGAACACCAGUGGCGAAGGCGACAUACUGGCCCAUUACUGACGCUGAGGCUCGAAAGCGUGGGGAGCAAACAGGAUUAGAUACCCUGGUAGUCCACGCUGUAAACGAUGAGUGCUAGUUGUCGGCAUGCAUGCAUGUCGGUGACGCAGCUAACGCAUUAAGCACUCCGCCUGGGGAGUACGGUCGCAAGAUUAAAACUCAAAGAGUAGUAGACGUGAGAGAGCGACGACGACGACGACGGAGGAGGAGG